AAGAGAAAAAGAACGCGCGUAAAUCUAAGCCUUUCGUUGCCAGCAAAAUGCCAGUUUCUCUCUUUGUUACAGAGCCGGAACCAACGACAGCAAAUGCUGACGGAGAGGGAAGCCGGACGAACGGCGUGUAGGGGAUUAAUACCCAAGGGACGGGGUUGAAACGAGGAGGCAGAAACGCAGCGGACCCUCGGUAUCCCCAGCAGCUGCCAGGGUAGCGGCAGGUGUUCCGCCACGGGCAAGUCAAGCAGGGAACGACGACGGGCCGUCGUGAAGAACUACAGGCUGCCGCCCUCCGACCUCGGCAGGUGACGCGCCGAGAGCAGCCGGGAGAAUCCGAAUGCCGGUCUUGGCGAGUUCUCUGCCUGGUGCUGACGAGGAGCCUUUGACAGUAGGAAGCACACCUGCUUCUAGUCUCAGUUGAAGGACGGGUCGCCUAGCUCAGCGUCUAACAAACCCCACAACCGGUGGCCCGGUCGCUAUGGCGCUGCUGUUGCUAGCAGAGCCACCAGGUCUGUGUGAAGCCUUAGGUGCCUGCUUGGAGCAGUGUUUUGGUCUGCUCACCUGGAAGAAGCAGCGAGGCCUAAAACAAGACUUUGUUGCGGCUACAUGGCCUGGGCCUGUGCGUGCCCCCCGGCUCUUGCGGACGCCCCGGAGCUGUAGGCAAACAGGCGAGCAGCCCGGCAGGCGAGCGGGCUCGGAGCGUGGCGAGGGCUGUCCGUGCUGUGCGGAUCCGUCCGCUUCCGUUCCCCGUCUCCUCGUCCGGCCCGCCCUCCUUUGGGUUUGUAACCUUCCCCUGCACCCAGCGUUCGGUUCGGCUCUGCGCGCAGACCUCAGGGCUGGGCUUCGUGCGGCCCAGGCCCGUGCCACCGAGACCGGCGAUGGGACGGGCGAGCCGAGCGCUGGGCAGCGAGCGUCCUGCAGGGCUCUAGCCUGGCGCAGGGCAGAAGUGCGCAGACAGGCGAGCUCAGGCGUCGUCCUCUCCGUUCUCAGAGCUGAGUGCUCUCCGUGAAGGCGAAAGCGGAAGGGGUAGGUCGUCGGCUACUCGGACACCUGCCGCGUCAAGGGCGGCAGCGGGAGCUGACCCUUCCCCGACGGACGGACGCCGGUGAGGACUCUUUGGGUGUCACAAGGUAAGGGAAAGCGUGCCGGCGUCCAGCUCGGUGGCUGGCUCGCUCCCAGGUGGUGUUUCUGCACGGCAAAACAAUAAACGGUUGCUUUAA